AGUCGAACGGCAGCACGGGCUUCGGCCUGGUGGCGAGUGGCGAACGGGUGAGUAAUACAUCGGAACGUGCCCUGUAGUGGGGGAUAACUAGUCGAAAGAUUAGCUAAUACCGCAUACGACCUGAGGGUGAAAGCGGGGGACCGUAAGGCCUCGCGCUACAGGAGCGGCCGAUGUCUGAUUAGCUAGUUGGUGGGGUAAAAGCCUACCAAGGCGACGAUCAGUAGCUGGUCUGAGAGGACGAUCAGCCACACUGGGACUGAGACACGGCCCAGACUCCUACGGGAGGCAGCAGUGGGGAAUUUUGGACAAUGGGGGCAACCCUGAUCCAGCAAUGCCGCGUGUGUGAAGAAGGCCUUCGGGUUGUAAAGCACUUUUGUCCGGAAAGAAAUGGCUCUGGUUAAUACCUGGGGUCGAUGACGGUACCGGAAGAAUAAGCACCGGCUAACUACGCGCCAGCAGCCGCGGUAAUACGUAGGGUGCGAGCGUUAAUCGGAAUUACUGGGCGUAAAGCGUGCGCAGGCGGUUUUGUAAGACAGGCGUGAAAUCCCCGAGCUCAACUUGGGAAUGGCGCUUGUGACUGCAAGGCUAGAGUAUGUCAGAGGGGGGUAGAAUUCCACGUGUAGCAGUGAAAUGCGUAGAGAUGUGGAGGAAUACCGAUGGCGAAGGCAGCCCCCUGGGACGUCACUGACGCUCAUGCACGAAAGCGUGGGGAGCAAACAGGAUUAGAUACCCUGGUAGUCCACGCCCUAAACGAUGUCAACUAGUUGUUGGGGAUUCAUUUCUUCAGUAACGUAGCUAACGCGUGAAGUUGACCGCCUGGGGAGUACGGUCGCAAGAUUAAAACUCAAAGGAAUUGACGGGGACCCGCACAAGCGGUGGAUGGUGUGGAUUAAUUCGAUGCAACGCGAA
rnacentral:rRNA from 1 species